AAACUUUUAACAACGGAUCUCUUGGCUCCAGCAUCGAUGAAGAACGCAGCGAAACGCGAUAUGUAAUGUGAAUUGCAGAAUUCAGUGAAUCAUCGAAUCUUUGAACGCACAUGGCGCCUUCCAGUAUCCUGGGAGGCAUGCCUGUCCGAGCGUCGUUUC
rnacentral:rRNA from 2 species